AGCGAACGCUGGCGGCAGGCCUAACACAUGCAAGUCGAACGAAGCCUUCGGGCUUAGUGGCGGACGGGUGAGUAACACGUGGGAACGUACCUCUUGGUUCGGAACAACUCAGGGAAACUUGAGCUAAUACCGGAUGAGCCCUUAGGGGGAAAGAUUUAUCGCCGAAAGAGCGGCCCGCGUUAGAUUAGCUAGUUGGGGAGGUAAAGGCUCACCAAGGCAACGAUCUAUAGCUGGUCUGAGAGGAUGAUCAGCCACACUGGGACUGAGACGCGGCCCAGACUCCUACGGGAGGCAGCAGUGGGGAAUCUUGCGCAAUGGGCGAAAGCCUGACGCAGCCAUGCCGCGUGAAUGAUGAAGGUCUUAGGAUUGUAAAAUUCUUUUACCAGGGACGAUAAUGACGGUACCUGGAGAAAAAGCCCCGGCUAACUUCGUGCCAGCAGCCGCCGUAACAC
rnacentral:rRNA from 1 species